UCUGUUGAUGGCAAUUAUCAACGGCGUCAUGAUUUGGUCGGCCGCCAUUGAAUUCAUUCUCUCUUUUCUUUGAGUAUUCAUUUCAUUUGUGGAGAGGAAACAAGGAGACAACUAUAACUAAAAUGAAAUCGUUUGUGUGAAUAUCAAGCUGUUGAUAAAAUAACAAAACAUCAAUUGACACUUGUAAAAAGCGAAAUGAGGAGAAAGUGAAUCGGAACACCAAAGCAGAACAUUAAUCGACACUUCCAAAAAGCGAAAUGAGUCGCUUUCCAAAGUCCUCAAUCUAUCGCACUUUAGUUCACUUAGCAACAGGUUUUGAUUGAUACUUAGAACUUCAUCUGAAUUAAACCAGCCAAUCUGAGAGUGCGUGCAUGAGCGUAAUUGAAAAUUCACCAUCAAAAAAAUGCUGACGAAAAGAGAUAAAAGAGAAUACGCGUAUAAAAGGUUCCGCAAACGUACAUUUUUGGCUAGUUUUUCAUCUAUGAUACAGAGAUGACAUUUGAUUUUGCCGAUCACACCUCAAUAGGAUGAUAAAACACCACGUUUGAAAAGUUGGGCUGUUGGUACGUAACUUAACGAACAAAUUAUUUAUUUAAUAAAAAUAUCCCUGAAGAAUUUGGAAAAUCCCAACGAAACGUCGGAUGAAAAAUUAAAUGAAUAGUUUUUAUUAUCAUUAAAUAAAACCCAGACCUAAAAGCCCAAUAAGACAGAGUCUUAGAUGAUUCCUAAAACAUAAAGAGGUCGAAAACAUAAUUCGUUAAACUAAUCGUAUGCGAGGAAUAAGUAAUAACUUAUAUGAUACGAAAUCAACGGACAUACUCCCUGUCAAGUGAACUUCGGAGAUGAAAAUGCCACUAAAUGUGCAAAUCGAUGGGCAAAGAAUUUCGACCACUUAUAACACUAACAAUUCUAGGGCUAAUAUUAGAGAUUAUGAGCAUAUCACUGAAACUACAGCUAUUACGGAUAAACUGAAAUGUAAGCACAGGGUUAUUCAUGUCUGGGGUCCACAAAAGGAGACGUCAGGAACCUCUUGUCAUGUGCAAAGUCGGGGAUAAAGAGUGUUUCUGUCUAACAACAUUAUCAUAUAUUAUUGCGGUAUUAAUCAAAACCUUCAUAUUAAGGACACAACUA
rnacentral:sRNA from 1 species